rnacentral:ncRNA from 1 species
UUAAAAACUGAGACAGGGAUCAAGUAGAUAUGAUUAACAUUUUAAAGAGAGUGGUGGAAGCUGGGAAUCCAUAAAUGUUACAUGUUGAAACUCCCCCUGGAGUUGUAAGCUGAACUUAUAGUAAGCUGUGCCGGUAGAAGCCGUUAUAAAAUAUGAGUAACAAAUUUGGGUGGUACCGCGGUAGACUUUCGCCCCAGGC